rnacentral:tRNA from 1 species
GGAUAGUUAGCUCAAUGGUAGAGCACUGCGCUUACAUCGCAGGGGUUGCAGGUUCGAGUCCUGCACUGUCCACCA